UACGGAGGGGGCUAGCGUUGUUCGGAAUUACUGGGCGUAAAGCGCACGUAGGCGGGUCGUUAAGUCGGGGGUGAAAUCCUGGGGCUCAACCUCAGAACUGCCCUCGAUACUGGCGACCUUGAGUACGGGAGAGGUGAGUGGAAUUCCCAGUGUAGAGGUGAAAUUCGUAGAUAUUGGGAAGAACACCAGUGGCGAAGGCGGCUCACUGGCCCGUAACUGACGCUGAGGUGCGAAAGCGUGGGGAGCAAAC
rnacentral:rRNA from 1 species